rnacentral:rRNA from 1 species
CAAGGAAUAUUGGUCAAUGGGCGCAAGCCUGAACCAGCCAUGCCGCGUGCAGGAAGACGGCCCUAUGGGUUGUAAACUGCUUUUGUCAGGGAAUAAACCCCCGCUCGUGAGCGGGGCUGAAGGUACCUGAAGAAUAAGCAUCGGCUAACUCCGUGCCAGCAGCCGCGGUAAUACGGAGGAUGCAAGCGUUAUCCGGAUUCAUUGGGUUUAAAGGGUGCGCAGGCGGAUUGGUAAGUCAGGGGUGAAAUCCCACAGCUCAACUGUGGAACUGCCUUUGAUACUGUCAGUCUAGAGUAUAGUUGAAGUGGGCGGAAUGUGUCAUGUAGCGGUGAAUGCUUAGAUAUGACACAGAACACCGAUCGCGAAGGCAGCUCGCUAAGCUAUAACUGACGCUCAUGCACGAAAGCGUGGGGAUCAGACAG